rnacentral:lncRNA from 1 species
AUGAUUUCUACAUAUCAAAAAAAAAAAAUUAACUUUGAAGAUGGAUUACAUCUGAAAAAUUGUGUCUAUAUAGCUUUUGUUUUUUGCAACAUAUUUGUUUCCACAAUCACAUUGACUUUUGCUUCUUUUAGACAAGAAUCAGUAAUGACUUUCAGUAAUGACUGUGUAUUGUCGUAUGAAAAAAUAUGAAAAUAAAUUGCAUAAAUGACCAACUUUGCGUUUUUUUUAUUAUAUCGGUAUACUCUGUUAAUUAAUGUUGGAUUAAUUGAUAAUCAAAUGUAUUACAGUGAAUAAGAACAGAUUCAAAUUAAAAGUUUUUAGUGCAUUAUGAAAGACAUUAGGUGUACUUGCGCACUUUGUAUGCCGUUUUGUAGUUUUAAUAGUGUGAUUAAUGCGUUCACACUGAAAGGUGCACUUUACAUACCCAAAAAAAUGCAUUUAACCGAAAAAAAAAAGUGUGGAAUGUUGGACACUUCGUGCACUCAACUGUCACAUUUUUAAUACAUUGGUGGGGGGGGGGGGGCGGAGUGCUAUCAGACACUGAUGUUGAAUGACAAAACCUUAGAAAAUUCAUAUACUAUACGGCUGAGUACAUGAGUACAGUGCAUAAGUACACAGUGUAUAAAUGUAUAGUGCGUCAUUUGGGAUGCAACUAAUGACUUAAAAUUGAAUUUAAGAUUAAAUGUGUUGUGUUUAUUUAUUAAAAAUUAUAUUUUUGUGUAUUGAAAUCAAUAGAUAUGUAAAACUGUUUUAAAAAAAUGCCAUUUUCAUUAUUUGUUGGGGAUUAGAAGAUUAGCCAACAUACUAGCUUUUGCAUAAUAACUGCUCGUUACAGCAUGCACCAGCUACUGUACAUAAACAUAAGCACGAUGGUAACCCCAAAACUAAAAAAUAUAACAACUCAUGUAAAUCCCGUUCAAAAUCGAGGGGUCAAGACCGAGGAUCUGUCCAUAUAAACUUCCCUCGUCCACUUUGUGAAGUAGAAUGCACUUCAAAAAUGGCAGUGGGGAUUCCCCCGAGGAGAAAGUGCUUAGGGAAGUUCAUGAGUGCAUAUCUAAAAGUGAAGUGGAACGCAGCCCAUGUGAUCUUGAAGACUGAUUGAUUGGCUUGUUCAGGUGUGUUUGAUUAGGGUUGGAGCUAAACUCUGCAAGACAGUAGCCCUCUAUGACUGAAGUUGCCCAGCCCUGACUUAGACUUGUGCAGGCCAUUAAAAAUAAAAUGGCUGCUGAAGAGUAAAUAAGGUAUAGUUUAUCUUGUAAUUCAACUGAGGAAGUACAUGCAAGGAAUAACUUUACUUGUAUUGCCCUUUCACAUGUCUUUCACUGUACUAGCUAUAAUCUUCAUAACCUUAUUUAAAAGUGCGCUAUGUGAUGGCAGACAAUUCACUCCAUUCUUUAUAAUCACAUUUCAAAAUUUCAUGUAUUGAAACAGAGAAAAUCAAAACUGUGAUAUAAAUGUCUACACUACUUUUACAUUGUCUAUAAGGUAUCUUACAGACAAAGCCACUGAUUGUUUUUCUCAAACAUUUAUUGUACUGUACAUAUAGACAUCACAACAUCUGACAUCUUGUCCCCAGACUCCACAAUCUUUUGGUUGCGACCAGUCACAAAGCAUGUUGGGUAACUGGCAGCAAUACAAAGGCUCCAAUACUUCACAAAGUGGAAAAUGUAUAGGCAUACUAAAAGGAUUGAGUAUUUACCAUCAUAAUCAGACGGAUUAAAUCAGAGUCAUGUGUAUUAUAAUGAAUGAGAACAGAUUAAAAUGAACAUUUUUAUGUUAACUGCAUUAUGAAAGGCAAUGACUUGAAGUGUAUUUAUGAAACACGUACUAGGUGUACUGAAAAUAGUAUUUGAUUUGUGAUUUUAUUUUAUGUAUUAUUUGAUAAUUGAGUUUAAUUUAUAUGGUAGUUUUUUGUUAAGUAACGCAUUUGCAGUGUCCACAGGUGAAGCCAAACAACUGUUUUGAGUGGACUAGCUGGUACUAAAACAUGACAACAUGCUAAAUAUAGUUUAUCUUUCUAUUAAAUUGACCAUGGGGUAUGAGCAAAUAUGAUAAGCCUGGUUCCUGAACUAGUGUUGACACAGCCUUUGUGCUUUGAGUAAACCAAUAUGUGCCACAGCUGCAAAUGUAGCUGUCCAUAACCUAAGCAUACGCUCAGCUCUUCGGCAGAAUGGUAACCACAUAAUAGUAAUAACAUAGUGUCUUCUAAAUCUCCAGUAAACAUGUACAUUAAUGAGUCUUUCCUCUACUCAAAAACACAUUUGACUCUUAACAUUACCCCUAUCAUGCAAAGGCAACUCAUAGGCAGAAAUGAUUACAAAAAAGGAAAUCAAAAAAUGAUUCAUGCAGGCCC